rfam:Oryza barthii chromosome 1, whole genome shotgun sequence.
AAUAAGUGUAGUUUUGCACUAUUCACAUUCAAUAUUUGACUGUUCAUUUUAUUUGAAAAAUUUUUAUGAUUAAUAUUUUUAUUGCUAUUAGAUGAUAAAACAUAAAUAGUACUCUAUGUGUGAUAUCUUUAAAUUUUUUACAAAUUUUUUAAAUAAGACAGACGGUCAAGCAUUGGACAUGGAUAUCCACGACUACUUAUU